rnacentral:rRNA from 1 species
AUUGAACGCUGGCGGCAUGCUUUACACAUGCAAGUCGAACGGCAGCACGGACUUCGGUCUGGUGGCGAGUGGCAAACGGGUGAGUAAUACAUCGGAACGUGCCCAGUUGUGGGGGAUAACUACUCGAAAGAGUAGCUAAUACCGCAUGAGAACUGAGGUUGAAAGCAGGGGAUCGUAAGACCUUGCGCAAUUGGAGCGGCCGAUGGCAGAUUAGGUAGUUGGUGGGAUAAAAGCUUACCAAGCCGACGAUCUGUAGCUGGUCUGAGAGGACGACCAGCCACACUGGGACUGAGACACGGCCAAGACUCCUACGGGAGGAAGCAGUGGGGAAUUUUGGACAAUGGGCGAAAGCCUGAUCCAGCAAUGCCGCGUGCAGGAUGAAGGCCUUCGGGUUGUAAACUGCUUUUGUACGGAACGAAAAGCUUCGGGCUAAUACCCUGGAGUCAUGACGGUACCGUAAGAAUAAGCACCGGCUAACUACGUGCCAGCCGCCGCCGUAACAC